rnacentral:rRNA from 1 species
GUAGGUGGCAAGCGUUGUCCGGAUUUACUGGGCGUAAAGGGCGUGCAGGCGGUCUGUUAAGUCUAGGGUGAAAGCUCCCGGCUCAACUGGGAGAGGUCCUUGGAUACUGGCGGACUUGAGGGAGGCAGAGGAAAGUGGAAUUCCCGGUGUAGUGGUGAUAUGCGUAGAUAUCGGGAGGAACACCAGUGGCGAAGGCGGCUUUCUGGGCCUUACCUGACGCUGAGACGCGAAAGCGUGGGGAGCGAACCGGAUUAGAUACCCGGGUAGUCCACGCCGUAAACUAUGGACACUAGGUGUGGGGGGUAUCGACCCCCUCCGUGCCGCAGCUAACGCAAUAAGUGUCCCGCCUGGGGAGUACGGCCGCAAGGCUAAA